rnacentral:rRNA from 1 species
AUGGACGCCGCCUCCUCGCUCAUGGGCGGCCCCUCCUCCGCCGACGCGCCCACCGACGGCGAGCACCGCAUGGGCACCACCAUCGUCGGGGUCUGCUACGCCGGCGGCGUCGUCCUCGCCGCCGACUCCAGGACCAGCACCGGAAUGUAUGUGGCAAACCGUGCUUCGGACAAGAUUAGUCAGCUCACUGAUAAUGUCUAUGUCUGCCGUUCUGGAUCUGCUGCUGAUACACAAGUUAUUUCAGAUUAUGUGCGCUAUUUUCUCCACCAACACACAAUUCAGCUUGGGCAACCAGCUACCGUGAAAGUCGCAUCCAACUUGGUUAGGUUGCUGGCCUAUCAGAACAAGAGCAUGUUACAAGCUGGAAUGAUAGUUGGUGGAUGGGAUAAGUAUGAGGGAGGCCAAAUUUACUCAGUCCCUCUUGGUGGAACGAUUCUGAGGCAACCAUUCGCAAUUGGAGGAUCUGGUUCCAGCUAUCUGUAUGGAUUGAUGGAUCAUGAAUGGAAAGAGGGGAUGACCCAGGAAGAAGCUGAGAAGUUUGUGGUGAAGGUGGUUUCCCUUGCUAUUGCACGUGAUGGUGCUAGUGGAGGGGUUGUUCGCACCGUUACUAUAAAUGAGGAGGGCGUGAAGAGGAGCUUCCAUCCUGGCGACAAGCUGCCACUGUGGCAUGAGGAGAUGGAGCCCCAGAACUCGCUCCUCGACAUUCUCGCGGCCGGGAGCUCUGAUGCCAUGGUCCAGUGA